AAUGAACGCUGGCGGAAUGCUUUACACAUGCAAGUCGAACGGCAGCACGGGGCAACCUGGUGGCGAGUGGCGAACGGGUGAGUAAUACAUCGGAACGUGCCCAAUCGUGGGGGAUAACGUAGCGAAAGUUACGCUAAUACCGCAUACGAUCUACGGAUGAAAGCGGGGGAUCGCAAGACCUCGCGCGAAUGGAGCGGCCGAUGUCAGAUUAGGUAGUUGGUGGGGUAAAGGCUCACCAAGCCGACGAUCUGUAGCUGGUCUGAGAGGACGACCAGCCACACUGGGACUGAGACACGGCCCAGACUCCUACGGGAGGCAGCAGUGGGGAAUUUUGGGCAAUGGGCGCAAGCCUGAUCCAGCCAUUCCGCGUGCAGGAUGAAGGCCUUCGGGUUGUAAACUGCUUUUGUACGGAGCGAAAAGGCUCUCUCUAAUACAGGGGGCUCAUGACGGUACCGUAAGAAUAAGCACCGGCUAACUACGUGCCAGCCGCCGCGGUAACAC
rnacentral:rRNA from 1 species